UUCGCCUGCGGUUUAUGAGGAUGAGCACCUCCGCAGGAGGUUCGAGCCUCGCGAAGCGAGACAACGUUGCUUUAGCAACGGCCCGCAGGACGCGCAUCAAGGAUGCGCGUAAUCCUCUCUCGCCGACCA
rnacentral:sRNA from 1 species